rnacentral:rRNA from 1 species
UGGGGAAUAUUGCACAAUGGGCGCAAGCCUGAUGCAGCGACGCCGCGUGGGGGAUGACGGCCUUCGGGUUGUAAACUCCUUUCGCUAGGGACGAAGCUUUUUGUGACGGUACCUAGAUAAGAAGCACCGGCUAACUACGUGCCAGCAGCCGCGGUAAUACGUAGGGUGCGAGCGUCGUCCGGAAUUACUGGGCGUAAAGGGCUCGUAGGUGGUUUGUCGCGUCGUCUGUGAAAUUCCGGGGCUUAACUCCGGGCGUGCAGGCGAUACGGGCAUAACUUGAGUACUGUAGGGGUAACUGGAAUUCCUGGUGUAGCGGUGAAAUGCGCAGAUAUCAGGAGGAACACCGAUGGCGAAGGCAGGUUACUGGGCAGUUACUGACGCUGAGGAGCGAAAGCAUGGGUAGCGAACAGG